AAAUUUAGAAGAUACUUUGUUAGGUAGCCAAUAUAAAUUAAAAAUCAGCCUGAGUUUACAUACAUUUGUAAAGUCAGGCUCUUCUAAAAUCCAAAGAGGGUUUUUGCCUACAUAUCAAUCAAAGGAUAAAUACUUUAAUAAAAGGUGGUCACAGAGGAAACCUGUACCUCAAAUUACAUAUGCAAAUGAUCCAUCAGUAGGGAUCACUAAUAAUAGUUUUCCUUUUAAAAAAUAAUUUCAGGCCAGGUACAGUGGCUCAAGCCUAUACUCGCAAGACUUUGGGAGGCCAAGCAGAUGAUCGUUUGAGCCUAGAAAUUCAAGGCUGCAGUGGGCUAUGAUCAAUCCACUCUACAGCAGCCUAGGCUGCAGAGUGAGGUUCUUUCGCUAAAAUAAAAUUCCCAUGCAUCCAUAGGAAUAUAUUCAUCUUUUACAGUGACUGCAGAUUAGUUUUAAAACAUCUUUUUCAUAAUUCAUCAAUGCAAGUUAGUAAGAACCAGAUAAGUUUCCACUUUAAAAUGACAGGAAUCUAGAAUUCUUUUUCAAAAAUGCCAGCCUGUUUUUCAGGCAUCAUAGUAGUAGUUGGAAUAAUACAGAUAUAAUUGACUAAUAGUAAAGUACAUGAGAGUACAGAAGGGAAAUUUGGAAACAGUAAGUCUGCUAGGGCAUUACAAUCCUGUCCUAGCACUCCACUUUUAUUCUGCCAACCUGGGUUAAUUGAAGAUAGUAGCCUGGAAAGUAAUGAACAUUGACUUCAGGCAAUCUUUCCACUGAUUAUUCUUGGCUGAACUUCAUUUAUGGAGUCAGAGAAGGCACUGCCUGAGAAAUGCCCCAGAGGAGUGAAUCCUAGGCCUAGCCACAGUAGAAUCACCUGGAGAAUUUAAGAAAAUCUUUUUGGGCACUCGCUCUUUCCAGCGAUCUUUAUUUAGUUGUCUGACAAUGGAAUACAGGUAUAGUUCAUGUUUUUAAAUUUGUUCAGGUGUUUCUAAUGUGCGACCACAGUUGAAAAACCAUUGUCUUCAAGAAUGGCUAUUCUAUCUUGCCAAUUACAAUAAGUGGGUAGCUAUAUUAUCACAUAAAUUAUAGUUUACAGAUGUUUGGAGGGGGAGGACAGGAUCUGAGUUGUUUUAAUAUGACUGUUAGCACCAAAAUCUGAAUGCCUUAAUUGUUGGAUGUGUUAAAUUGGAUAAUUAAAAUGGGCAUAAUUGACUUAUUAAAAAAGCAAAGGGAAACAGCUGUGCUUUCAUUUUUUCUUCUAUUAAAGUACCUAGAGAAUAUGAUUUGGGAGAGUUAAAAGAAUAGCUUGUCAUUCACUGAGUUGGCCCUGAAUUCUCAUUUGCAUAAAAUCUUUUGUUCUAAGCUUUCUUCUUUAGUUUAUUAAAUCUGCAUAUUAUUUUUCAAAAUUACCAUGCAUCUUUUAACUCUCAUCCAGAUGUUAUAUAAAAUCAAAUAUUUAGGAAGCUGAAUGACAAUUUAAUCCAUAGACUUUGUAUUAGAGCUUGUUUCCCAGACUGUCACCUACAUGUAGCUCAAAGUUGAUGUAGCCUACAGCAAUACUUCGCAAACUUUAAUGUGGGUAAGAAUCAACUGUGAGUACUUAUUUUAGACGUACUAAUUUGGUCCCAUUCCCAUAGUUUCUGAUUCACUGCACUAGGUGGGUCCUAGAAAUCUACAUUUUUAAGAAGCAUUCCUUGUGAUUUGAAUUCAGGUGUUCCAUAGUUCAUCUCCAAGAAACAUAGUGCUACAGAGAGUAGUUGAACUUUAAAACAUUCUUAGGCACAGAAAGUAAUAUUCUCAAAGAUGUGGUCUCUGUAGAGUGAUGGUUAGGCCUAGAAGUCAUCAACCCCAGUACCUCAAACUCAAUUCACAAAAAGACCCAGAUGCAAAUUAUCUUCAGGGCCAGAACUUAGGAGCAGCGUCUUCCUUUAGUCCCCUGAUGCUCUUUAUGCCACCAGGGAAAUAACUUAGGUGCAUGAAAAGGCCACUAGUGGCCUCCCAAGAACUUCCUUUUUAUUUUUGAAUCACAUCUAAAGGCUAGAAUAAGCAAAUCUAUUUGGAGUGUUUUUAUAGUAUAAUGAUUUAAUUAAGAUAACACAAUCAUUGAUGAUGGUAAAUACGAUUCCUGUUCAUAGCCUUAAAAAUUUUGAAACACCAAAACACAAAGAUGUCUAUCACAUAUCCAAAGUACUGAUAUAAAAAAAAAGGACAUGCAUUUUUCUGGGUUUGAAAAUAGAGUAUACACUGUACUAUCAUACAGAAAGGAUUUACCAAUGAAGACCUGAUUUAAAAAAGCACUCUUACUCAGAUAUACCAAGAUAUAAUAUAAAAUAGGAGCUUAUAAAAAACAAGUAUGACAAUAGAACCCUUUUUGUUUUUGAACAAAAAUGCAUUUUAUACAAACUCCCUUAAAAUGAGUAAGUGAUAAGAAUGCUGUAUUUGAGGACACCGUGCCAGUCCAGUGUUCACUUCCAGCCCUCGCUGUGGGAAGUGACAGCAGUCAUGUUGAUAUCUGAGCAGAUGAGAGCCAGUGUGGGCAAGCUGCUCAAGGGUAUCAACAGGAACAAUCCUGAGAAGCUGGCCACCCUGGAGUGCUAUGUGGAGAUGCAGGUCAAAGAGAAUGCCUAUGAUCUGGAAGCCAACCCAGCUGUCCUGAAGCUGUACCAGUCCAACCCAGCAUUUUUUCAGACCACGAUCACUGCCCAGAUCCAGCUGAAGGCCCUCACCAACCUGCCACAUACCAACUUCACGCUGUGCAAGUGCAUGAUUGGCCAGGCACAUCAAGAAGAGUGGCCAUCCGAUGCAUUUUGUACCUCAAGGACCUGGAGACCAGCCUCUUUCAGGCCUUCUGGCAAGCCUUGGAUGAAAACAUGGACCUCUUGGAAGGUAUAACUGGCUUUGAAGACUCUGUCUGAAUGCUUAUCUGCCCUGUCAUGGGUUCACCAGCACAUUGACCGCAGACUGUUGGCCGAGAUGCCUGGGUAUCUGUCCGACAGGCAACUGAAGGUGUGGAUGAGAAAAUACACCUGGAGUGCUGAUGAGUCAGGGCAGAUCUUCAUCUGUAGCCAGGAAGAGAACAUUAAGCCCAAGAACCUUGUGGAGAAGAUAGACUUUGACAGUGUGUCCAGCAUCAUGGCCUCCUUCCAGUAACUGCAGGUGUUUAAUAAAUAUUUGUUGACU